GGGGGUAUAGCUCAGUGGUAGAGAAUUUGACUGCAGAUCAAGAGGUCUCCAGUUCAAAUCUGGGUGCCCCCU
rnacentral:tRNA from 1 species